AUUGAACGCUGGCGGCAGGCCUAACACAUGCAAGUCGAACGGUAACAGGAAGUAAGCUUGCUUCUUUGCUGACGAGUGGCGGACGGGUGAGUAAUGUCUGGGAAACUGCCUGAUGGAGGGGAUAACGUACUGGAAACGGUAGCUAAUACCGCAUAACGUCGCAAGACCAAAGAGGGGGACCUUCGGGCCUCUUGCCAUCGGAUGUGACCCAGAUGGGGUUAGCUAGUAGGUGGGGUAACGGCUCACCUAGGCGACGAUCCUUAGCUGGUCCUGAGAGGAUGACCAGCCACACUGGAACUGAGACAC
rnacentral:rRNA from 1 species